ACGCCUAAGGCGCAGCAGCAGAUUCUGAUAGAAGACUCAGGCAAAGCAUUUGUUGUUGGCAGGUUGAAUGCUUUCGGCAGAACCACCAAUAACAAGGGGGGCGCCUGGUGUCUUGCAUCGGAAUCUGUUACUGUUUCCUAGGCGU
rnacentral:pre_miRNA from 1 species